AAAGGGAGACCUAAUUCAGGUAGGAGACGAAAAAAAAGUAGUCGCUACCAAGAAUCAAUCCCAAAAGGUCGGAGCGAGGCGAAAUUGGCUUUCAAACUAGGUUCUGGGUUCAAACAAGACCUGAAUCAGGAACAAGGGCUAUUAGCUCAGGUGGUUAGAGCGCACCCCUGAUAAGGGUGAGGUCCCUGGUUCGAGUCCAGGAUGGCCCACCUGCACAGGUGGCAAAAACAAGAGAAGCGAGGAAUCAGCACCUUAUCUUACCUACAUAGUAAGAGAGAAUGCUGGCUCUGAGUACAGAGUCCAGAGGAACCUUGAAAACUGCAUAGAGCUAGGUGAAAAAGCCAAAAAAGAAGACCGCAAG
rnacentral:tRNA from 1 species